rnacentral:lncRNA from 1 species
GUCGGCCCGCCCUCCCUGGGGACGCGGAGCGUGUUUGUGUUUGUGUUCGUGUCCGACACCACGCCCCUCCCACGUCCGCCUGGAAGGGCCCCCACACCUACCCCACCCCCGACUGCCACCACCUGGAGCAAAACUGAUCGCUGUCCCCUUUUCGUCCCUCAGCACCCGCAACCUCCGGUUCUUGUGCACGCACUUCCAGGGACUGGCAGCACGUCACCAUCACCUCCUGAGAAGAGCACUCCAAUUCUAUCAUAGAUUGGGUAUGGAAGAAGAUAAACCCCAUCUUGGAGAAAUCAGCUAUACAACACUGUGUAAGUGGUUGGGAUUCAAACAUCAGGGUGAAUUUACAAAUCUGCGAUGUGGAUUGAAAGUGGUUUUUAUGAGUUAAGAAAAAAAAUCAACCAGCUAAAAGAUUGCUUUACUCUUAAAACUCAGCUAAACAUUCCAAGGUAAGUGUGACGAUAUACAUCAGCUCUCAUUAUCAAGAAGGCAAUACCAAAUAGCAAUUAAUUAUUUUCACUGUAAGAGAAUAUCUACUUCCUGAAGCAAAUAAUACAUUAUAUGUGAAUUUAAAAAAAUGUUUUAAAUGUAAAUAAUAAUAAUAAAAGAGAAUAUCUAAUUAUAUGAAAUAAGAGG